rnacentral:rRNA from 1 species
GAUGAACGCUGGCGGCGUGCCUAAUACAUGCAAGUCGAGCGAACAGACGAGGAGCUUGCUCCUCUGACGUUAGCGGCGGACGGGUGAGUAACACGUGGAUAACCUACCUAUAAGACUGGGAUAACUUCGGGAAACCGGAGCUAAUACCGGAUAAUAUAUUGAACCGCAUGGUUCAAUAGUGAAAGACGGUUUUGCUGUCACUUAUAGAUGGAUCCGCGCCGCAUUAGCUAGUUGGUAAGGUAACGGCUUACCAAGGCAACGAUGCGUAGCCGACCUGAGAGGGGGAUCGGCCACACUGGAACUGGGACACGGUCCAAACUCCUACGGGGGGCAGCAGUAGGGAAUCUUCCGAAAUGGGCGAAAGCCUGACGGAGCAACGCCGCGUGGGUGAUGAAGGUCUUCGGAUCGUAAAACUCUGUUAUUAGGGAAAAACAAAAGUGUAAGUAACUAUGCACGUCUUGACGGUACCUAAUCAGAAAGCCACGGCUAACUACGUG